rnacentral:rRNA from 1 species
GAUGAACGCUGGCGGCGUGCUUAACACAUGCAAGUCGAACGAUGAAGCCCAGCUUGCUGGGUGGAUUAGUGGCGAACGGGUGAGUAACACGUGAGUAACGUGCCCUUGACUCUGGGAUAAGCGCUGGAAACGGCGUCUAAUACCGGAUACGAGCUUCCACCGCAGGGUGGGUUGCUGGAAAGAAUUUCGGUCGGGGAUGGACUCGCGGCCUAUCAGGUAGUUGGUGAGGUAACGGCUCACCAAGCCGGCGACGGGUAGCCGGCCUGAGGGGGGGACCGGCCAAACUGGGACGGAGACACGGCCCAGCCUCCACCGGGAGGAAGCAGGGGGGAAUAUUGCACAAUGGGCGCAAGCCUGAUGCAGCAACGCCGCGUGAGGGACGAAGGCCUUCGGGUCGUAACCCUCUUUUAGAAGGGAAGAAGCGAAAGUGACGGUACCUGCAGAAAAAGCACCGGCUAACUACGUG